rnacentral:rRNA from 1 species
GACGAACGCUGGCGGCGUGCUUAACACAUGCAAGUCGAACGGAAAGGCCCUGCUUUUGUGGGGUGCUCGAGUGGCGAAAGGGUGAGUAACACGUGAGUAACCUGCCCUUGACUUUGGGAUAACUUCAGGAAACUGGGGCUAAUACCGGAUAGGAGCUCCUGCUGCAUGGUGGGGGUUGGAAAGUUUCGGCGGUUGGGGAUGGACUCGCGGCUUAUCAGCUUGUUGGUGGGGUAGUGGCUUACCAAGGCUUUGACGGGUAGCCGGCCUGAGAGGGUGACCGGCCACAUUGGGACUGAGAUACGGCCCAGACUCCUACGGGAGGCAGCAGUGGGGAAUAUUGCACAAUGGGCGGAAGCCUAAUGCAGCAACGCCGCGUGCGGGAUGACGGCCUUCGGGUUGUAACCCGCUUUCGCCUGUGACGAAGCGUGAGUGACGGUAAUGGGUAAAGAAGCACCGGCUAACUACGUG